rnacentral:rRNA from 1 species
UACGUAGGGUCCGAGCGUUGUCCGGAAUUACUGGGCGUAAAGAGCUCGUAGGUGGUUUGUCGCGUUGUUCGUGAAAACUCACAGCUCAACUGUGGGCGUGCGGGCGAUACGGGCAGACUUGAGUACUGCAGGGGAGACUGGAAUUCCUGGUGUAGCGGUGGAAUGCGCAGAUAUCAGGAGGAACACCGGUGGCGAAGGCGGGUCUCUGGGCAGUAACUGACGCUGGAGGAGCGAAAAGCCGUGGGGAGCGAAACAGG